AGUGAGGGUAGAGGUGCAAGGAUCAUAAGUACUUUAGCGGAGGAGAAUGAGAUCUGUAGAUGCUAAGUGGAAAGGGAUACUUGCCGAAGUUAGUUGAGAUCUCAUGUCUCAUUAGCUGGGACUGUUCUGAACAAGGGCAGUACUGUCAUAUAGCAGAAUCGCUAUAUGGAGGGCUAUCUCACAC
rnacentral:ncRNA from 2 species